UCGUGCCGAAGAAAGUAAAUCAUGGCGCUGUGCCAGUUGAUAUACUUCUCCGUGCCUUAAUUGGAUGUGAAAGUAUAGAAGAGUGUGUCGCUGUUAUGAAGAACGAUCCUGUGGGCUGUUCGUAUGGAAUAAACAUCAACAUUGCAAGCAGAUAUAACAGUCGUGGAUGUGCAGCACAUUUCGUAUUCAAACAGCGCACGUAGAGUCUCGUACUAAGUACAUAUAAAUUGUUACAAGCAUGUUAAAGAUGCGGAGGAAUCACCAGGAUUAGAUGGUACAAAAGCUAGAGAAGCAACUGCAAGCCAAAUGUCUGUACCGACAUGUCUCCAAGAUGUCUGCAAUAUUUUGGGAGAUACGUCCAGUACGAUAGAGCCCAUCUACCGAACGCCCGGGAUAAGCUUUAAAAUUAUACAUAUUGCAACAAUUGCUUCUGCAGUGUUUGAUAUGAAUGAAUGCGUUCUUCGUGUUUAUCUUACGAAUCCGAAAACUGCGAAACGUCCUUGUUUAUCUUUGCCAUUUGUUCAAUAACUUUAUAUUUUAUUCCAAAUGCAGUUGUCUUUUCUCUUACUUUGUGAACAGUUACAAAAUACUGAAUACAGGCCCGGUUCCAGAAAUAUUUCAUCGGAGGGAUGAGGUGGGGGCAGUAGUUUAGAACGAAGCUCAAACUGCCAAGUGGGGGUAGAUAUAGGAUGGGAGGGGGGCUACGCUCGUAUAAGGUGGUCAGGGGGUCUUCCACCUUAAUUUUUCUUGAAACAUUGGUAUGAUUUGCAGCUUUUUGGUCUAAAUUUUGAGAUAUUGGUGGAGGUUCUCCCAUCAUUGUAGGGGAUCAGGAGGUCUGUACCUAGAAAAUUUUGAAAUAUUGGUAUGAAAUGGCGGCCUCUGGUGCAUUUUUGGAUCUAAAUGCUUAGAAAUAUUAUUUCUUACUUCGAUGAGUAUAGGUCACUUCUCAGCCAACUGGUUGUGUGUGUUGGGGUUAGGGGACGGGAGCAUGGACCCCCUGGACCUGGGCCUGAAAUAUUACAUACAUACAUGUACAUUGUACCAGCUUAGGAAUAAAUAUUUCAUAAACCUA